GAUGAACGCUGGCGGCGUGCCUAAUACAUGCAAGUCGUGCGAGCUUCCUCUAAGCUUGCUUCUGUGAUGUUAGCGGCGGACGGGUGAGUAACACGUGGAUAACCUCCCUAUAAGACUGGGAUAACUUCGGAAAACCGUAUCUUAUCCCAUAUAAUAUUUUGACCCCCUUGUUUUAACAGUGAAAGCCCGUCUUGCUUUCACUUAUAUCUGUAUCCUCGCGGCAUUAGCUAGUGGGUAAGGUACAGGCUUACCAAGACGACGAUGCAUAGCCGACGUGAGAGGGCGAUCGGCCACAAGAGAACGAAGACACGGUCCAGACUCCUAAGGGAGGCAGCAGUAGGGAAGCUUCCGCAAUGGGAGAAAGUCUGACGGAGCAACGCAGCGUGAGUGAUGAAGGUCGUCGGAUCGUAAAACGCUGUUAGUAGGGAAGAACAUAUGGGGAAGGAACAGGGCACAACGUGAAGGUACCUAAGCAGAAAGCAACGGCUAACUACGUG
rnacentral:rRNA from 1 species